rnacentral:rRNA from 1 species
GACGAACCGUGCGAACGUUAUUCGGAUUAACUGGGCUUAAAGGGCGCGUAGGCGGGUGUCCAAGUCAGGGGUGAAAUCCGGCAGCUCAACUGUCGAACAGCUUCUGAUACUGGAUGUCUUGAGGGGGGUAGGGGCAUGUGGAACUUCCGGUGGAGCGGUGAAAUGCGUAGAUAUCGUUUGGAACGCCAAUGGUGAAAACAGGUUGCUGGGAGUGUGCUGACGCUGAGACACGAAAGCCAGGGGAGCAAACGGG